rnacentral:hammerhead_ribozyme from 1 species
AUCCAACUGACGAGUUUCAAAUAGGACGAAACGUUUGUCGUGGAU